AUACAUUGGUUUUUAAGUUUAAAACCUAUUUUUUUAAAUUUAAUUUAAAAACUUUAUUUUUCGUUGAAUUGUUUACAAUAGUUUUAUAAAAAAAUAUAAACUAAUUAAAAUCAACACAUUAAACUGUAUGAGACAAUACACACAAACAUUUAUAUCGUGAGUUAUAUAGAAUUUUUUUUUUUCAAGUUACAGUUUGUAUAUAUGUAUGCAUAUAAAGGUAUAUUACAAUUCUGGAAAUAAUAAAUGACAACAAAUUAAUUUUUUUCACGUAAAAUUUUAAACAUAAAAAACAAAAAACCACAAUAAAUCAAAAUAGAAAAAAUUUAAAAAAAUGAAUUCUUUUUGACAAAUUUUACAACGCCGCUUUAAAAUUCUAUUUUUGAACAUCUUUCGAAGAUUUUGUUUUUUAAUUGUUGUUUCAGAAAUACAAACAGCUGUGUUAUUACAAAACCAACACCACCUGAACAUUUGAGGGCAAUACAAUCAAGCUCACAUAUGUCUCAGGUUAAAAUCAAAGAAAAUGUCUCAAUAUCUAAAUAUCUCAACAAUGCACAAUCCAAACCAUCCGAGAGCCAGUCUGGUGUAUUACAACCGGAUGUUUUGUCAAGUCAAUUAAAAACUAUUGUUGAAACACCAGCGCAUGUGUUAACUUCGAUCAACUCAACUGUUCUUUUGGAGAGGUUAAUUACAACGCUUGAAGAGAUAAAAGAAAAUCAAAAGACUCAUUCUGUAAUGUUACAGUCUAUAAUGAGACAAAUAAAUACACCUCAGAUGGAAAAAGAUAAUGAAUUGCCUAUAGGCAUUCACCUUCCCAUUUCCAGUAUCGAAGAUAUGAAUAAUUUGGAGGAGCAACUAAAAGAUCGAUCAAUCAAGAGAACAUUGACUUCUAUUGUGUCUAAUAUUGGUGGAAGCUCAUUGGAUGAUGCCAUCAAAAGAAUGAUGAAAUUUAUUCUGUCUAAUAAUCUUGGAAGACUGUGCAAUCUCUCUGGGCAGGCUGGAAAAGUAUGUUUUUCGAAACUGGAAAUAUUUGAAGUAGUCUGUGGUUUCUUCUUGUUGUCCCUGGCCACCAGCAUUACGUUUUGUUGCAUGUUAUCAGACUUGUAUGGUCACUACUUUUGAAGCCUUUCUGACUGAACAAUACCCAGCUGUUUGUCAUCAAUGCCAUCUAUAUCAUGUGAUGUAACACUGAAUGCAAUCACUUUUAAAAAAACAAUUGCAGCUACUAAUGAAGUUUGUAAGCGAAUACCUAUACUAUAUCAAGCAGAAACCAAAGCAGUACAACCAGCACUUAUUUUUUCAGCACUUAUGUUUAUCAUUAUCUUAUCCAUCCUCCUAAACCAAAUAUGUUUAUUCUUAUCCAAAUAUUCUCCAUCCUCCUAAACCAAAUAGGUUUGUUCUCUACUGAUUUCUAGAAUGAUUGCUUUUUCUCUUUACUAUACAUGUUUCUUAACUAUUGUACAUGCUUGACUGAAUCUAAAUCAUGACACCUGUCCCCUCCAACUGCUAUUCAAUCAGUCUUCUCUCUAUUAUAAGCAAAGUCUUUGAUAAUUGAUCAACAAAUUUCUAACAUUCCAACUUAAGUCUAAUAUUUUACUCCCUGACAAUCAUUAUGGUUUUUAAACUUUUUGUUUUAAGGCUGACUUAUUUACUGUAAUGGCAUGCUGGUCUUCUCCAUAAGCUUGCUUCAUGUGACGUAUCUGGAAAAGUUUUUGAGAUUAUCAAAACAUUUCUUUCUAAUUGCUUUAUCAAUAAUGUCAUUAUCGAAGGCUAACACUCUUCUUCGUUUCCAGUGCGUUCUGGAGUACCUAAAAUGGUUAUACUUGAUUCACACUUUUUUUAAAAG